CGUUUUUAUGUCUCUUAUACUUUUCUCCACUUAGUCCGGCUUGAUCUUCAUGGUUUCAUCUAUUCUGACUAUCUUCUCCCACCGAUCGUAUUCGUCUUUUUUGCUUUCCCAUAUUUACUCGCUUGCCGUUUACUCCCUUAUUGGAUUUUGUUCGAUUUCUUGGAUUCGCUUUUUCCUAAGGUCUCUAUUCCUAAUUUUUGUGUUUCAUGUCUCCUAUUACUUGCUAUGUUCUUCUUCAGUUUUUUCCUCUCAACUCUAUUGGGAUUCGAUAUACCUUAAUGGCGUAUGUGUCGUGCUGCCCUCAGAAAAAUUGGCACUGGCGUCUGCACGUCUGCUCAGUCUUGAACUCAGUAACCCCUACGCUGUUAAUUUACCAUAGCUUCCUUCCAUCUGCCACUUAUUGGCUAGGUACCCACUCUACAUUACGUAUCUGAGUAGUCAUGACGAUGGAACAGUUGGGACUUCGAGUAACGUUUGUUUCUUCUGCUGCUGACGUGCCUUAAUGAUGGUGGCAACUCUCGACGGAUCCCACGUGGCAGGAGGUCUUAAUGCAGAACUCUGUUCGAACCGUCCCACAUCCCAAUUCGUUGUUAUGAGUAGAUCGGACCGUUGAUUAUCGCUAUAUAUCGGGGGCUCCCUUGUCCUUCGGUCUUUGCGACUCACUAUUGUACUAAUUGGAACCUGCUCCGACCGUCUCACCUUCUAGGACGCCUCAUAAAUUAGUUAUUGGCUAUGUCUAAGAGACUCAGCUCAGUGACUCUCGCCAAGUUGUGGCUCAAAAGGCCCCGCCACUUAUCUUCUGCUUCGCAGGGUUUUUUUAUCGCAGAAAGGAAUCCUAGACUACUUCCAUAAAAGGCCUUUGGACGAGGAUCCAAGGGAAAUCAGUCGCCCAAUUGCCCGAGAAAGAAUGCUAAAAAUUGACACCGGAGCGUCUGAGCUCCCACCGCGAGGCCCGCCCAUUGCUUCAGGAGAGGGUCCGCUCUUCAGGCGAAUCUGGUGAAGCCUUGGGCCCAUGCUUCAGUGAUGUCCAUGCUGCCAAGCUGAAAAUUCUGGCCGGGGUGAUACUUCCGUCGGUGACAAGGACAAAAAAAAAAAAAAAGAAAAAAAAAAAAAAAGUGUGAUUAGCUCUUCACCUUCGAUCAGGUGGUGACCAAGUUUCUUCUCCAUGUGCUCGGCCAUGUAGUUGGUCUUUCCCUCAAGACGUUUGUCAAUUCCUAUUCAGUGCGGUAAUUUUGAUUAUGUUUGUAGCAGGGGGUUAUCUUAGGGUCUUCUCUCGCCGUACGGCAUCAGAGACUUCGCCGAGGCGCCCUCACUCAAAAGGCUAUCGCUGAAUCUGCCGAGAUGGAAAUGGUUCGGCGGUUCGCAAAAUCGGGCCUUUAAUUAGAGGGUUCCCGUUGCCGAGGAGAAGGCAAUGGGGGGGGGGGGAAGAGCCUCACGAGAUGCUGAUGCAAAGACAGGUCAAUCGCGAAGUUAGAGUCUAGGAUUACUCGAGCUGAAAAAAGAAGCCAGUCCUGUCUCGCAAGCAGGAUCAAAUCGCCGCGUUCAAAGAGUCGGAUGACUUUUUAGAAGCCGUGAGGGGAUCAAGCAUCUUCUUCCUGUUCGUCGAGGCUUUGUACUUCUGCCAAGGCAUCUCGCGUCACCCAGUAUCCUGAUUCUCUCGUCGAUCUGGAGGACGUUGAUAUUGCACAAGAAUUCCUCCUCGCUAAAAGAUGAGCCGAAGCGAGCAAAGACCGGCCCGAAGAAGGGGCAUUCGGGGCGAGGGGGUUGGCGAAGCUGCUGUCUUUUCCCCUUUUGUAUAUUUUUAUUUUAUUUUAUUUUAUUUUAUUUUUUUUUGUACCGUGAUCUUCGAUGAAUAACAAUAAAGCUGAUUCGCUUCAAACUGGGUCUUUUUUCUUUUUGGACUUGAUUACCCUCGUCCAUGGAUACAUAGCUCCGGGCGACGAGAAUAUACCGGCAGAUCGUCGACUGGCGAUGAAUAAUGUGAAUUGGGUUUCUAUCAUGGCGACUCCUGUGAUGGUAUCAAGGAAUCCUCAACCGUUUCGCAAUGAACUGGCGAUCUAGAUCUUUUGCAAUGACUGGCGAUUCUAGAUCUUUUCUUAGGUGAUUAGAUAUUGAGCGGCAUGAUUUUACUUGGUAGUGCAUUUAGGAAAAAUUUUGGACGACUAGUAGCGACGUCGUCAUCCAAUCAUAGGUGAUCUCAAAUCAACCGAAUCAUAGCCUGUUCCCGCACCAAUGCUGACUUGUUUGUGCAAUGAUGUCCCGUACAGGUGGAGCGUCGACGGACUCACUCCAGGAGCCACGUGGAUGGGGAACUUAAAUGCAAAACUGUUGGGUCAGCGGAAAAUGGUUAUGACGGAACGUCCAGUUUUCACACCUCAGAUCGCAACGUCGCGUGAUCUGGGCCGUUGGCCCGAUCGUCCACAGCCCUCCCCUAUGCCGUAAUAAAUGGGUUAACCUGUUCAUUCGCACAUUUCCAUUGCUUUGUCGCAGUGCUCUCCGUUUUUAAAUUGCAUCUCGUCCAUAAACCAGGUCGGUUUGGUCCCGUGUAAUGUUCUCCAGACCAACCUCGGAGGCGAGAAUCUGAGCACAAUCCUUGCCUCUUGAUAUCGAUCAUCUCUAGGGGCGAAGUCUUAUAUCGACGACGAGCCAGUCUCCGUCGUCUCCACCACAAACUCCCCAAGAUGGUACCUCCGAGUUCUUACAAGGAGGGUAAGCCAUGUCCCAGGCCGAAGCUGGACAAUCUCGGUUCCACUUUAUUCAUUCCCUCAGGGAUACGAUUCGGAUUCUGGGGAAGGCGAGACAAUUUAUCAACUCGCCAAGGCGAGGUGGCAUUUUACGAACCGCUUUUCUGGCCGGCUUAAGGCUAUCCCCUCCAUCCGACCAUUUGUAAAUCUUGAUUCAUUACAAGAUCUUGGCCCUGCACACUUGUCUCCCAACCGCGGUGGCGAUCAUUCAUCUGUUCGCUGGUGAUAUGGCUUACUUACUUCAAAGCGCACAUGUCCUGUGAUGAAUGCAAGUCGUGUACGCGCUCAGUCCGCUUACCGGAUUCGGGUGGGACUACUUCAAUGCGAGGCCCGAGAAAACCCUGUUUCCGAGGAUUCCCCAAGCAUGUGAAGGGGUGGAAGACGAGGUGCUUUUUUUUUGUCUCAGGGGCGAUGGGAGUUCCCGCUGCACGACCAUCAGCGACAGUACUACUCCGCGGGUUCCCCUCCCCAAAUCUUUGGGGCAUGCAGGUUAGUUCCUAUUGGGUCUUUUGUCUGCUAAGCCUUUAAUGUCGUCCUGACAUGCGAUUUUCACAGGGAAAAAAAACUGCAAUAAAGGGGCCAACCUUUGUCCGAGGUUGAAGCCAAAAGGACGUGGCGAUAUUUGGGGAAGGUAUGAGCCCGUGAGGCUACUUGAGGUUGUCGAAGUACGGGUUCGCGACCUUUUCCUAAAAAACCACUUUGCGGCUGGUUGGCCGGCGCUCUCUACCCAGUGGCGAGACAACACGACUUCGGGUGACUAGGUGAGUUUCGUUACUCGCGAAGACUCGGUUGAAUACCUGGGAGUUAUCAGAACGGAUACGAAGAGCAUUUAGGAGAGCCCCACCCCGGUAUCCCUGAUGAAACCCUUCUACAGUGCUCGGUGGGAAGGUAAAGGGCCCUUUACGAAUCUCCAAUCUGGGACUCCGUGCUCCAGUUUCGGAUUCAGGGUCGGUUUCCUUUUCGGAUUCCGAGCUACCCCCCCGAGCUCAAAUCUGAUGGUAUAUUCUAAAAACCAACUAUUUACUGUUUUCUCUCUAUUCUUCUUACUGACAUCUCUCAUGUGCAAGCUUGUCGCUCGGCUGGUGCCCCCGCUGUGUGCCAAAAAACCGAGGGCAAGGCCAAGCCGAAAGGCUUAGUACUAAGGAGAAGACGGCCAAGCCUCCCCCAAAGGAGUGACUAUCCCGCGGAACCGUACGCGUGAAAGCGACCUUUUAAUCGAAAUAGCGAGCUUGACUCUUCGAAGGGAAAAGAAGCAGUGCCGCCCCCGCCGCCUAAAAAAUUCAAUCUAACGAGGGGUCGAUCAAUGCUAGAGUGCGUGCUGCUGAGCGGGGUAACCUCUUCCCCCUGUGGCGACAUAGGAUCCCGACCUAUGUCGGAUGCUUCAGUUGCUCGAGGCUGCUUACGGGGGUGAUUCCGCUUUUGACCAAAAGAGGUUGACCAAUUAUCCGAGAAUGAAUUGGUCCCAAAUCUUUUCAUGCCUUGGUCAGGUAACUCGUGAAAUCGUUGGUGUUAUUGUGUUUUUCUUUUUUCGGCGAAUACUAGGUGUUAUAUUGGCAGGUGGUCGUGUUUCGCCUCUUCUCUUGCCUUCCCGCAGCCAGGAGUAUCUCCACGACGUAAACUUCCCAAUGGCUCCGCGCAGACUCCGCCGAGCUGGAAUUGGUUAAAAGCCUCAAUUGAGCCCUUAAAGCGGAUAAUAAGCUGCCGAGCUUGGCGAGGAAGGAUCCAGCCCGGCAACGAUGUGGACAUCUGAAGGCCACUGUGGCAGAGCUUACAAAUAACUGGCGAAUGCCAAGGAUCUAGCCAUUGAGGAUUUCAAGCAUCGGAGAAUUCAAGGCGGUCGGUUUUACAAUUCUGCUGCGACGUACGUCAGCGAGGGCUUUGAGUUUUGCAUGAGGCAGCUCAUUCAUCAAUUCCCCAACUUCGGUGUUGACGUGGCGAAUAUGGCUAUUGGACCCAGCUAUUCGGGCCGAGGAAGAGGAGCGGAUGAAAGGAAGGAGAAGAUCCCUGCUGGGCGGGAGUUGCUCCCAAUGUAUAUUUUUUUUGUGUGUGUAGUUUUGUCCAUAUAAAUGAAAAUCUUUGUUCCUCCCCCGUUCUUUGUUUGGAUGUUCAGGCGACCAUAAUUAAUGGCGAAGUCUCAAUAACUGGAAUAUAUACUGGCAAUUUCAACAAUGGACGGAUCUCAUGUUUGUGUCUGAAUUGGCGAGAAACAUUUUUCUUCUUUAAAAAAGGGCGAUCUCAAUUUGGCGAGUUUUCUUUUCUUUAAUGGCGAUCUCAUGAUUUGGCGAUUUUUCUUUAAAUGGCGCGCUCAAUUGGCGAGCAUUGAUAUAGGCGAUCAUAAUAUAUAGGCGACAUAAACAAUGGCGCUGCAAUCUUUUUCGUAUAAAAGAUGAAUCUAACAUGGCGAAUCUAACAAAUUUCCUAAUAAUAAACUUAUUAGGGCGCGAAUGGCGAAGGGUUUUCCAUGCCCUUCACUGAUAGUACUUUUUCAUGCUCGGCAUUUCCGGGAUGUGAAAGUGCUUUUCCGUCCGGGUCUUCUAAAACCAAUAAGUCCCCGUCGGGACCUUUGAUGACCUUGUAAGGACCUUCCCACGUUGGUCCGAGCUUUUUCCUAUAUUUGUUUCUUCUAGUUGAACACUACAGGGUUACUUUCUGCAGAACCAGAUCGCCCGGAAGGAAUGACGUUGCUAACUCUUUGAUUGUAUACUUGGCGACUUGCACUUGUAAGCCAUUUGGCGUAGCUCGGCUUUCUCUCUUUUUUUCUUUUCUUCAAGGAGGCUAGGUUGAUUCUGAGCUCGGACUCAUUGAUUUCUUUGUCGAAAUUCGAAAGACCCUGAAGCUCCGGCAUACUAUUUCCUUUCCCAUCCACCGGUAAUGAACUGAUUCGGUUUCCGAAGACCAUGGAAUCUGGGUUUCGGGCCCCGUAGGAAAUCCCCAGGAAUCCUCAUCCCCCUGCUAGUAAGUAGAAAGCCCAAAGUAUGUUGGUAAGUUUUCCCCACUCGCUUUUUUGAAUCGGUUCCAACCUCACUUUAAUUCCUGAGGAAUGGUAGCGAUGGUUAUUUUAACCUGCCCAUGACUUGAGGAUGACCGAGCGAGGAGAAAUAUUGGAGAUGGCGAGAAUCCGAACAGAAUAGGUUGAACCUGCGUUGUCGAACUGUCUGGCGUUGUCCGGAUGAUAACCUUUGGGACUCCGAAUCUGCAAACUAGAUGUGCGUCCCAAUAACGAAGUCCCGGGUAUUUUUCUCAGUAAUUCUUGGCGAGGGGCUAAGCUUCUAUCCAUUUAGUGAAAAAUCUCUGGCCGACGAUUACAACCUUCCUUUGCAAGGAACUUGCGUGGGGACCCAGAAUGUCUAUCCCCCACUCUGGGCGAAUGGCCAAGGGCUGGACACGGUACCUCUCGUGUGAGGUAGACUGCUAACGGGGGCAAACCUCUCUGGCAUUUGUCGGCAAUCUCUUAACAUAUGCUGUCCGCAUCUCGUUCUAUGGUCGUCCAAAAAUAUCCUUGGCGAAUAGGUUUUCUUCUCCAGUGACUUCUCCGGAGUGAUUCCGCAUAUGCCUUCGUGUAUUUCUCUAGAAACGUCUCUGCCUCUCUGGUCGUAGACGUGUUUAGGAGUGGUCCUAAAAAAAGACCUCUUGUACAGCACGCCUUAAAAUACAGAACCAUUGCGGAUCUGUAUUUGAGACGCAGCCUUGGUGCUUAUCUCUGGCAGGAUCCCUCCUUUGGAGAUGCAUAAUUCGUCCAUCCCCGCGGGUUUUUCUUCCGUUGGAGGACUUGGUUGGCUACUCCAAUGGCUUGUGCUGGUUAAAAUUCCAGAGGUAUGCAUCUGUCAGAAAUAACUCAAAGUUUGACGCAAGAUUAGCUAAGGCGGUCUGCCUUUUUAUUAUCUCUCGGGGAUCUGAAUGAAUCUUGAACUCCCGUGAUCUUGGCUGAUACAACUCACUUCGCUAAAUAGGCUAUCAUUCUUGCGUCCUUGGCGAGGUAGUCUCCUGGACUUGGUUUCCCACCAGCUGCGAGUCAUUGAAAACUUCCAAAGAUUGUGCUCCCAACUCUUUUGCUAACCUUAAUCCGGCGAGGAGGCGCUUCGUAUUCGGCUUCAUUGUUCGUGGCUUAAAACCCCAAUUCUAUGGCGUAUUCCAUUUGUUUUCACUGAACGAGCUCGGAUUACAGCCCUGCCCCGCAGCCGUUGCUGGUUAGAAGAGCCAUCAACGAACAAUAUCCAUGGGCGAGGUUUUUUUCUCUGAGUUUGGUUCUUUAGGUAUUCCUCGCUUUCAAGGUAGGGGGCCGUUUAAGGUUGUUGAGUGUCCUCAUGGUGGAUUCGACAAUGAAAUCACCAGGGCCUGGGCCUUUAUUGCUGUCCUUGGCUUGUAUUCAAUGUGGAAUUCACUUAGCUCGACGACCAUUUGAGGAGUCGACCUGACGCAUCUGGUCGUCGAGAAUAUUCUCAUGGCUGAUCCUCACACUAGAUGGAUUGGCUUGAAAGUAUGACAGGUUUCCUUGUGCGGCGAUCAUUAGGGCGUGGUGAGUUUUUCGAUAUUUGGGAUAUCUGGUCUCCUGCUCCCAAUAAGACUUUAGAAACGUAUAAAUUGGGCCUUUGGACUAAUCUUCUUCUCGGAUGAGCACGCGGCGCACUCCCGCGGUGGCGUAGAAUGACAAUAGACGUAAAGGUCCUCGCGGUGGCGGGACUGUGAGUAAAAAAGGCGGGACCCGAGGUACUCUUUCCACUGGUUGGAAAACGCAUUUCAGAUUCCUCAUUCCAUUGAAAGUCCUGACUUUUCCUUCAUGAUUUGAAGAAGGGGCGGCAAUUUGUCCGCAGACUUGGAGACAAAUCUGUUGAGGGGCGGCUACUCGCCAGCUCAGCUGCUGUACCUUCCGAUACUCUUUUCUUUCUGGGCGAACUCAUCGUGAUGAGGGCUUGGAUCGAUCCGGUUCUUCGAUUCCACGUUUAGUGACCAGAAAUCCUAAAAAUUUCUGGACGACACUCCAAAUAUGCAUUUGGCGGGAUUUAAAACAUCAUCCUGGCGACGCAGGAUGUUGAAUGCUUCUUCAAGUGGCGAUGUGGUCGGAUGAUUGAGGCUUUUAACCAGCAUAUCAUCAAUCUAUACCCCUUCCCAUGGUCUUCCAUUUUGUUCCUUGAACAUCUUAUGACUAACCUCUGGUCGUCGCCCAGCGUUCUUCAAUCCGAAUGCAUGCUUUGUAGUAAUAUAACCCCCGGUCUAUGAUAAAAGGGUCUUUUCAUGUCAGGAGGGUACAUCUUGAUCUGGUGAUAUCCCUAGAAAGCUCCAUAAAACUUAGGACUCGUGCUUGGAGGAGGCGUCGACUAUAAGUCUAUUUUUGGCAAGGAAAAAAACUGUCCUUGUGGGCAGCCUUGUUAGGUCGGCUGAAAUCUACACACACCCUCCACUUUCCCCUUUUUUGGGGCGACUACGACCUUGGCAGCCAAUCCGGAUAGUGGGCCCUUGGAACACGACGUUAGUCUGAUGAGUUUAUUUACUAACUGGACAUUCGUCUUCAAUACUUUAAGAAGGCGUUAGGGGCGAACUCCUCGCUUUUGGCGAACUGGAGAAUGCAUCGGGUCGUGAACAAUUUGUCAUUGGCGAUCUCAGGAUCUCUGCAUGAACGUCUCUUUUGCGACCAGGCACAUACGUCCGAUUUUCUUUCAGGAAGUUUAUCCAGGUGAAACGAAGCUCACGUGGUAGUUUCCGUACACAUGAUAUGGCGAUCAGGAUAAUCUGGAUGUAGGAGAUGGGGACGAUCUCUUCAGAGGCUUGGCUUUAUCUUUUUCCUCCCUGGGGUCGGGCUAGGGUGAGUUGUUCCCAUUUUCUCUCUAAGUACCUCUGCGUCGUCAGCCCAUGUCUCGUAUUUGCUAUUGGGUGGGCGGACUGAAGAGGUUUCGACCCUCAUGGCCGAGAUGAACAUUUUCCCUUGCCAUUCUUUCUGAUCGCCCUUUAAAUCUCGCCAAUCCCCUGUUAGGGUGGGAAACUUAGCUUCAGGUGAUAGUCCGAGGUGAUCCGCCCCUGAUUCCUCCCAAGUUUUUGGUCGCCUCAGGAUGGCAUUAUAAGGCAAGGGGCAGUCUACCAUAAUACAAUCCUGCCACAAGACUGUGGUCUGGUGUGGUUCGCCUCCCAGGGUUAUCGGCAAGAGUUGAAUCCAUCCCAAGGGGUGCGUCUUAUUUCCUCCAAUCCGAUUAGGGGGCGUAAUGAAAGGGUGCAGCUUGUCCACCCAAUGUUUUUUUUCAUUUUUUCGAAUGCCGAGAUGACAAGAUAUCUGCCGAACUCCCCUUGUCGAUCAAAAUCCUCUGGACGUUGAAUUGCAAUGACGACCGAAAUGACCAAGGCAUUCGUCGUGGGGUAAUCCGAGCCCUCAAACAUCAAUUGCUGAAGGUGAUAGGUGUUUGAUCACAACAAAUGAUAGAGGUUGUAAACUUCUUCCUCGGCCGAUCGCAUGGGUCACUUUUGGGCUGUCUUUUCCCACUGUAUGAAGUCGAAUAAUCCCGCCUGAUCCGAAACCUCCAUGGAUUGUUUGUAUAUCCCCCCGAAGUGGUCCUGUUAUCGCCGUAUCUCUUUUCUAGGGUUGGGUGGUGGGCGAGUGGCUAUAUACUUUCUCAUAACCCCUCUUAAUGAGUCGGCGAUUGUGCUCCUUCAGUUUGAAAGCAGUCCUCAGUAUUAUUGUCCUGGUCCCAGUGAACGUUCACAAUAUUUGUUCCUGUUCCUCUUCUGGGGUCCUUUUGAUCUUUCCUUCCCGGGCAUUUGAACGACAUCUUCGUGCGUAAUUUCUUAGAGUAACUACUUGGGCAACGGGGCGUUGAUGUGGAAGAGGAGCUCAAGUCGGCGAGGAGGGUGCGAGACGCCUAUCAUUUGGAUCGUUUUGGGAUCUCGGUUAGGUCUCUUGUACUCGUCCUCUUCCCUAUUAAUCAGUUCGUCCUCGUAUCAGGUUCCUUUCUCUUGUUGAUCAUCAUCCUUCCCUCGUCGCCUUCGUUUUGGCCUCGGUCAACUCCUCUGCGGCGAUAUACUUGUCGGCUUUGGCUCGGAGUGCGGAUAAAGUUUCAGGAAUGUUUUUGAAAAGGGAGUCGAACAGCGGCCAGGUCGGAGUCCUUCCUUCAUCAUAGCCAUGAUUAUUACCUUGUCGCUGGGAUCCUCGUUCUAGAAUGCCUGAUUGAACGUUUCACGAAGUCUUUCAAGCCUCUCAUUCUCUUUUUGAUGAAUGGUGAAAAGUGAGAAGCAUUCUUUUGGCGAUUUUCUUCUCUGCAGCUUAUGAAUUGGCGACGAAGAGUCGACUGAGAUUGCCACGGGAAUCAAUGGUCCCUGUCGACAUUUUUCGAAACCAUGACCUGGCGGGUUCCCUUCCAAGUGGCGGAGAACGCUCUGCACAUAACCAAUCGUCCGAGCCAACCCUUGGAGCGGAAUCAGACUCUUGUACGAUUCAAGGUGGUCGCAUCGGAUUCUGUUUUUCCUUCAUAAAGAACCGAGCUAGGGCGGGGGCUUGAACUUUGAUGAAUCCGAGCCCCUCAAUAUCCUCUCUGUGAACGACAGUUCUUCUGCUUAUUAUUGCGUCCACCGUUACUGGGCACCUGCCCCGUGUUGAUGGCGUCGAGCCGGGCGUCCAACUCUCGAAUCUUUUGUGAGGUGGACUUAUCUCGUGCCCUGACGUGGUCACCUCUGCGGGGCUCCUCCCCCGUCUCGAUUUGGUCGGUGUUUUACUAGAUUCGAAGGACUCUUUUCAUUGCGAGGAUCUUAGUGCUUGGCGUCUCCCCCGCCCUACUUUGUCGGCACUGCUGUUUCUGUCUGGAACGAUGUUCAGAACGAUUCGCGUGCAGAUCGCUCGACAUCAGGGAUUAUGGUUGCGCUGGAAGUGGGUUGGUUGGCAGCAGCGAGGAGUUGCAUUAUGCGAGAGACCAUUAUUCUCGUUCAUUAUCCUCAUCUGCUCAUCCAUAUCGUGUAUCUCACAUGGAGACCUUCUAGAUCUGGAGCUUGGGCUUGGGUUGGCCUAGGAAACGGGAUCUGUUUCCCCAGGGGGGCUACUGGCACUUGUUCUGGAGAUUUGGGCGGCUGCGCAGUGCUAGAGAACUGCGUUCACAGACGGCGCCAAACUGGGAACUGUUGUUGUGGAAAAUCUGGGCGACAACCCAACAGUCAAUAUUGCUCGUAUCCUCGGCCUGGACUCGGAUAUUUGGAACGGGCACCUGCACACCAUACGAAACGAAAGUAAACGGCCGGGCGAGGAGGCCUCGUCUCAAACCCCCUCCGGCGUUAUGAUCAGACCAAGGUGCUGACAGCAGAUAAAGAGAAUUGUGGAGUGUUGGUCCUUGUCAUAGGCGUACCUUUGUUACAUGGGGGAGCGGCCUUUUUAUAGACGAUUAAUGGGCCGUGCCCAUUGAUCACGGCAAGAUCCCUCGAAGGAUAUAUAUGGAAGGAUAUCGCUAGAUAGAUAGAUAUAUUUGGGAAGAUUGCCAUAUGGAGAGUAUCCCGUAAUUGUCGGUGCCGUGAGGAGAAAAUCUCGCAAGGGAUGUUACCAUGUAAUUAUUAGGAUUCUGGUGGAGUAGAGACGGAGAUUCCAAGUAUUUUCCUCGUCCCAAAGGCGAGGAAGAACAGCAACUUUGGCUCUGGCCGAGCUCAGUGGUAUAGCCUUGGCGCGGUUCCGUGUGACGUUGGACUCGUUUUAAAACCUCGGCCAAGUAUGGUUCGGAGAUACACUUUUGGUAUCGUAAUGCGGAGAAUGGUUUCCUUCAUUGGAUUGAGUAAUGGCGAUGUCCGGCCUUCAUUGGGGCGAGGUACUUGGAAACUUAAUAGUGAAUAUUUUCCCCACAUCAAUAUAUAUAAUCAUUUAUCGAUUCAGAAGGUGAAUAAUGAUUGUUUAGUAAAUGUCUAGACAAAAUAGAAUUGAUUAUGACCACUUGAUCAGGGGCCAAAGAUUUAUUAGUUUUGUAGGUAACAUUGGCCUACAAGGCCGAAAGGAAAAAAACAACAACUUAACUUCUAUGUAGUUUAAAUUUUUGGAUUAUAUAUUGCAGUUCAAAUAUUUUGGAAUCAAUUUUGGGGUGCAUUUCGAUGAUUCAAAUAGUUCAAAUUGUAGAUUUUAUUGUAAAAAUUAAUAUUGUAAAAAUCAUAUUGAUCUGAUAAAAAUCGAUAUCAGCUUAAUAUUAUUUUAUAACUGAAUAAAUGAGUUUGACAUAUAAGAUUAUGCCAAUUUAUUUUUAUAUAAAUUGAUAUUAAUCGACUAUUGAUAUAUAUCCGAUUAACUUAAUUUUUUAUAGUACUAAAAUUGUCAAUGAGAUUUACAAUAUGAGUAGUUUAGAAAUAAACCUAAACAGGAUCCUAAAAACUUAGACUACACCAAUUCAAUUCAAAAUUGAACUACAUAAAAAUCUGGUAAAAAAAACGGAGAGAAGACUUUGGCUUUCGUUUAAGGUAAACAAAUGGGUUGGACGAAUUUUUGUAUUUGGAAAGGUUUAAUCAGUCGAUUUAAUUGGUCAACUCGAAUCCGUUUUUUUCUAGGUUUUUCUCGGGUUUGGAUCCUCUCCCCAUAUUGCCCCCUCCAAACGACUCAUGAAGCUUUUACUCACAGUAGGACACGUGGCUAUCUCCUACAUCCAUGGGUGAAACACACACCAUGUCACGAGAUAAAGUAUUGGAUCGAUUGGUUUCGGUCCACUUCAGAUCGGUUCGAGUUGGUUUUGUAUUUAUAUGCUAAAAAUCGACGAUUAAAUUAGGAUCUUGAUAGAUUGUUUUAUAUCAAAUAUGCUUUAUAUACUAAUAUAUAUUAAAACUAAUAUAUAAAAUUCUAUUGGUCUGGGUCGAUCCAUUUUUUUCUAGACCAAUCCAAAAUCAAAAACUGAAUUUUUGUUACCUUAUGGACCGAAACAGACUGAUUGGGACCAAAAAUUGACUUUUCGGUUCAAUUUUGUCGAUAUGUUUGGUUUUUAUUUUUCUUCACCUGUACGUCUUUCUCAUAGUGAAAUACCACUACUCUAUUUGGGAGUGUCCUUAAAUGUAUGUUAAAGUUAAAAAGUUAACAAAAUAAAUAUGCAGUUUUUUCUUUUUACUCUUUUUUUUAUAUAUUAUUUACAUAACAUUCUAUUCUAAUAAAAAAAAAGCCAAUGCAGAUUAUAGAAUAAAUUGGGGUAAAAGUUAACAAAAAAUUAAAUGUAAUAAUUGUGUUCACUUAAAAUGUUAGAUUUUUCAAAAGAUGACUUCAAUAUGAGACAGAUUGAGCAAUGUUGUUCUUGAAAUCACAAUUUUAAUUAAUUUUUUCACUAAUUAUUAGUUUAUUUUUUUACUUUUAUAUGAAUUCUAGUGUUGCAAUAUCUGAACCAAAAUAGGUUAAAAAAAUAGUAUAAAUAAAAAUAAAUAUCUAAUUUGAGAAACUUGAAUUUAUUGAUUUAUAAGUUUUUAAAAAUAAAAAUCAAUUGUCCAAAAAUUAAUAGGAGUUAAUAGUCACUUUCUAAAAAAUAUAAUCCUUAUUCAUAAAUUUUCCUUGGUUAAUUUAAUUUACAAUGGUUGAAAGUGGAAACGGCAUCAACGCGGUCGAGGGAACUUUUUGGACUUUGGGAAAUUUCUGAGAUUGUUAUCUUCAGGCUGCCUGGCCACGUGGUGUGUUUUCACCCAUGGAUGUAGUAGAUGCUCACGUGUCCUGCUGUGAGCAAAAGCACCUUUAGAAGUUUGGAGAAGGGAAUAUUUGGAGAAGUUUCCAAAAUUGAGCUUACGUAGAAUUUUUUAUUUUUUGGUAAUUUUUCAAAUAUAUUAAUUAUUAGCAAAUAUUUUCUUUUUCUAGGUUAUGUUCUAGUGCUUGUAAGUUCUUGAAAUCAGAGUUUUGGUAAUUAUUUUGCCAUUUUUUCUAAGAAAGAAGAAAAGUGGGGAUGCAUAUUUUGUUUUUUUUUGAAGGUCUAGGUAUUUAGCUUGCUUAUUUUUUUGACUUAAUCCCCACGUUUGGGGCAUGCUAGUCUUUGGCCCUCUCAUUCUUUUUUUUUUAACUUUUUUUUCUAUACGGCCCAUACCUUGAGAAGUGCUACAGUUACAAUAAAUUUUGUACAACAUCGUGAAACGACGUCGUUUUUGCCGAAUCAAUGCAAAACGAUGUCGUUCCAUUUAGUAACCGAGAAACAGAGUCGGCUAAAUGGAAUCAAGUCUUUUUGCAUUGAUUCGACAAAAACGACGUCGUUACACGGAUGUUAUACACUUGUUGUACAAAAUUUGUUGUAAACCUAGCAUUUUUCAUAUGUUUUGAGCAUUUAUCAACUCUAUUUUGGGAUAGUUACACCUCCGAAACUAUCGACUAAAUGAGAACCAUGUACAUCGUUAACUUUUUAAUUAAAAAAAUAUAGAAACUGCACUAUUCACUGAGUUCCAAAUACUUCAUUUUUUCUUUUUACAAGUGUAGAUUGAUCUUACUAAGAGAGGUAGGUUUUUGAUUUGCUUGUCGAAGAACGUGCUUCAUUUGUAAAAAAAUGUGUUGCCCUUGAAUAUAUCUAUUGCUAGGAACUAAGGUACGUAAAUUCACUUAUUCGACUAGUGAAAAAGUUGAAAUUAAAAAAAAAAUUAUAAAAAUGGGUUAUGGUUUAUCACAAUAUAAAAAAGUAUUAGAACUAAUUAGUUUGUAAAUCUAAGAUAGCUGAAUUUAAUGACUCUGUGUACAUAGUAAUAUCUAUGGAACAAAAUCCUAGAAAGAACUUAAUACCCAAAAUGGGACUUUCGUGUAUUUUUGGUAUACAAACUGAUCCUUCUUUAUUUACUUUGUUAGAUGUUUCACUAUGUUGUAAGACCGAGAAAAUUGUUGAGAGGUCAUUAUUGAUAACUUGAAUAAGGUUCUAGAGCAAGAGAAAAAAAGUUAAAAAAAGUUUUGGUAUUUUUUUCCUAGGGAGCAGCUUAUACGCUUUGCUAAUGGGGUCUAAGGUAUUUCAAUCAUUUUUAGCCAAAUUUGGUAGGAAAUGUUGCAACUUAGGUGCCAUUUUUUUUUUUUUUUUUUUUGCGUUUAGAUAGUAUAAGUGAUACAUACUCAAAAUACAGUGUAAGUGAAAACAUUCCAUUUUUUCGUUAAUUUGAAUGAAAAAUAAUGUCUUCACUUUAGUCAAUAGUUCAAAGGGUGUAAAUAUCCAAAAGUAGAAUUGAUGGGUAUAAGUGAUAUACGCUCAAAAUACAGAGGGUGUAAAUGAAAAAUCCAUUAUUUUUGACUUCUUUAAAUAAAAAUAAAAUAAAAAAUUCAAAAUAUGUUGAUAUAUGUACGAAUGCAAGAAACUUAAAGAAAAAUGUGAACAGGAAAAACUAG
rnacentral:lncRNA from 1 species